ACGUAUGGUGCAAGCGUUAUCCGGAUUUACUGGGUGUAAAGGGAGCGCAGGCGGGAGGCUAAGUCUGAUGUGAAAGCCCGGGGCUCAACCCCGGUACUGCAUUGGAAACUGGCCACCUAGAGUGUCGGAGGGGUAAGUGGAAUUCCUAGUGUAGCGGUGAAAUGCGUAGAUAUUAGGAGGAACACCAGUGGCGAAGGCGGCUUACUGGACGAUUACUGACGCUGAGGCUCGAAAGCGUGGGGAGCAAACAG
rnacentral:rRNA from 1 species